UACGAAGGGUGCAAGCGUUACUCGGAAUUACUGGGCGUAAAGCGUGCGUAGGCGGUUUGUUAAGUCUGAUGUGAAAUCCCUGGGCUCAACCUGGGACCUGCAUUGGAAACUGGCGAGCUAGAGUACGGUAGAGGGUGGUGGAAUUCCCGGUGUAGCAGUGAAAUGCGUAGAGAUCGGGAGGAACACUCGUGGCGAAGGCGGCCACCUGGACCAGUACUGACGCUGAGGCACGAAAGCGUGGGGAGCAAACAGG
rnacentral:rRNA from 1 species